rnacentral:rRNA from 1 species
GGCGGCGACCGGCAAACGGGUGCGGAACACGUACACAACCUUCCUACAAGUGGGGAAUAGCCCAGAGAAAUUUGGAUUAAUACCCCGUAACAUAUAAAGAUGGCAUCAUUUUUAUAUUAUAGCUACGGCGCUUGUUGAUGGGUGUGCGGCUGAUUAGGUAGUUGGCGGGGUAAUGGCCCACCAAGCCUGCGAUCAGUAGCUGAUGUGAGAGCAUGAUCAGCCACACGGGCACUGAGACACGGGCCCG